rnacentral:tRNA from 1 species
CAAAUUAUAUCUUUAUAGAAAAGAAUUUCAUUUACAUAGAAAUAUAUUAUCGUGCAAUUCGAUUUAAUUUGA